GGUGAAACGGACAACAGCUGCCAUAUCUCGCCCCAUCUUUGCCGGUAUCCAGGGCCGCAGUGUGACCACUUUGCCCGACGGUACACUGGACCUGGGGGACAUGGAGAGCAAGAUCCGACCCCUGGACGACGUCCGGCAGCCGAGGACCAAGCUCAUCUGUCUGGAGAACACACACAACAACUGUGGAGGCCGCGUCCUGUCCCUGGACUACAUUCACAAAGUCAAAGAGGUGGCAAAGAAACACAACAUCAGUCUUCAUCUGGACGGGGCUCGACUCUUCAACGCAUCCACGGCUCUCAACGUUCCCCCC